UCUUACCUGAAAGCCAAAUACAUAAACAAGGGGAUGAACCCACCCCCCACCCGCUUAAAAUGCUAGAAAGGGAGCUGUCUGAUGUGGUCCUGAAGCGGAGUUUAACCUCAGGGCUAAACUCGGAGCAAGGAAAGCAUGAAUGAGCAUGUUUUCAAGCAUGGGAGCUGCAAUCGUGUGUAGCUAGCCAUCUGCUGAGAUGAGGCGGCCACGUAAUAAAUGCCAGAGCACUGCUGGGUAUCAGCAUAACGUGCUGAAAGUUGGAGAAUGUUUCUCAAAGGAGAAAACUGGCCACCUCCGCGCCUGAAACCACAAGUGCUUGGUCUCCUGAGUUGUUUUCACAGAGUGUCCCCUGAACCCAAUUACUCAACUUUUAAAGAUUCGCCUGUGCCUGACAUUUCGUAUACACGGAAUCAGAUGACAUGUGGCCGUCUGUGUCAGCCUUCUACUCGGCACGUUUUCGAGCUUCAUCCGGGUGGUGGCAUAUGCGUCAUUCCCCUCAUGGCUGCUACCACCUGACUGGGGGAAGGGGUUAAGGGUGCCUGCUGUACAGGGCUGUGCGUGUGUGAAGACCAGAGGUUGUACAAGCACCAAGCAUGAUGCCAACAUAGUGGGCACUCCCAGAAUGAGCUAUGGUUGAAAACCCUAAAAGACCUCUUUAAAAGACACUUUUACGGAGUUCCCGUCGUGGCGCAGUGGUUAACGAACCCAACU